CUCCUUUAACGUACCUGUCGAGUACAUCGCUAAUGUGAAUAAGUGGAUUGGAACUUGAACAAAUUCGACAAUGAGUAGCGUUCGACUUAGUUUCGUAUCAGUGGGACGGAUUGCGGUAAGGAGAAAUUCUCAGUUCACAUCGGUAGCGUCAGGUGUUCAGACGUGUCGCGCCAUCCGUCGCUCCUGUGCCCGCAGCAUCAGCACCGGCGUCUCCCUCAGGAAGGGCACCGGGGAACUGCCGCCAUCACACAACAAGGAUGGAAAUACAUCCGGAACAUCAGGUAAGAAGGGCGGCAGCGGAGUCCUAACAUGUCCUAAGUGCGGGGACCCCUGUACCCACGUUGAGACGUUCGUCAGCUCGACACGUUUCGUGAAGUGCGACAAGUGCCACCACUUUUUCGUGGUCCUCAGCGAGGUGGACACCAAGAAGAGCAUCAAGGACAACACUGAGAACAAGUCCGGCUUCUACAGGAAACCUCCUCCUCCACCAAAGAAGAUCUUCGAAUAUCUGAACAAGCACGUGGUGGGUCAGGAAUACGCCAAGAAGGUGUUGUCAGUAGCCGUCUACAACCACUACAAGCGUAUAUAUAACAACGUGACGAGCGGCGCGCCCGCCGACGGACAACAUCCGCUACAUCACACGCACAGAGAUCUGCUCCACGUGAACCAGGGCCAGAGCCCCGGCGCGGGGGGAGGGGCUGAGGUGCUGGAGAGGAACAACCACGAGCUCAGGCUCGACAAGAGCAAUGUGCUGCUGCUGGGACCCACCGGCAGCGGUAAGACCCUCCUCGCUCAAACCAUCGCCCAGUGCCUGGACGUGCCGUUCGCUAUCUGUGACUGCACCACCCUCACCCAGGCCGGGUACGUGGGCGAGGACAUCGAGAGCGUCAUCGCUAAACUGCUACAGGACGCCAAUUUCAAUGUUGAACGAGCACAGACCGGUAUAGUGUUUUUGGACGAAGUCGACAAAAUAGGAGCCGUGCCCGGGAUACACCAGCUGAGGGAUGUUGGAGGCGAGGGAGUUCAGCAGGGUAUGCUGAAGAUGUUGGAGGGCGCGCUGGUGUCCGUCCCCGAGAGGAACUCGCGCAAGCUGAGAGGAGACGCCGUGCAGGUCGACACCACCAACAUACUGUUCGUGGCCAGCGGCGCUUAUAACGGACUGGAUAGACUGAUCCAGCGCCGCAACAACGAGAAGUACCUCGGCUUCGGUGCCUGGGACCCUCGCUCGGGGCGCCGCGCAGCCCUGGCCGCCGCCGCCGCCGACGCCUCGCCCCUGGACAGCGCCACGGACGAGGCGGGCGAGAGGGACCACUGGCUGCGAGCCGUGCAGGCCCGGGACCUCAUCGACUUCGGCAUGAUACCGGAGUUCGUCGGCCGCUUCCCGGUGCUGGUGCCCUUCCACAGUCUGAACCAAGAUCUGCUGGUUAGGAUACUCACGGAACCCAAGAACGCCAUUGUGGCUCAGUACAAGUUGUUGUUCGCGAUGGACAAGUGCGAGCUGUCGUUCAGCGACGAAGCCUUACGAGCGGUGGCCGCACUCGCCAUGGAGAGGAAGACGGGCGCCAGGGGAUUGCGGGCUAUCAUGGAGAAUCUGUUACUGGAGGUGAUGUUCGAGAUCCCCGGCUCAGACAUAACCUGCGUCCACAUACACGAGGGCUGCGUGCAACGAGCGGAGCCGCCCACCGUGAGGCGGAGGGAGAGGGAGAGGCAACCCUGGAGCUCGGUGCGACUCUCUAAUUGAAUGUGUCAGACCCGUUGAGUGGCCGCGCUCUAAAAAUGAAUAUUCAAUGAGAAUACACGAGAUGAAAUCGGAUGCUGAGUCUGAAACACACUCGUGUGCUCUGUGACACGAUUCGUAACAUUAAUAUAGCAGAUAACUAUCAACACAACCACGCGAGAGACUCCAUACAUGUGAGAAAAAUACACAUUUCUAAGUCGCAGGAAUCGGAAUGGAUCGUUGGAACACCCUGUAUGUGAGCGAUGACGUGAAGCGCUCGGCUGGUACAGCACGGAGCGCCCGGGUCAGCGGACGCUAAAUCGGCCGUGAAUUAACUUGUGUGGAUAUUUCAAUGUUGUUUAUAAUAAAAAAUAUAUAUUAAAAAAAAUGGCAAAAAAUUUGGAUAAAUUCAUUGGAAAUCGGUGAAAAUCUUCAAAGAACCAUACGACAUAGCUUGUGAUGUAAAUUACUGUAAAUAAUAGAGAACCUAGUUUAUAGUUAAGGUUAGUAAAUAUGUGUUAUCUGGUUAAGUUACAAAAUAUUCGUUCUGCGACUCCCUGGAAUAUUUUGGUUUGAAUAUUUUUUCUCUAUUUAUACAACGCGAGGUUGCGAAGUGAUAAUCGACAGUUUUCUGGCGAUUUUAAAAAUUCCUCGUCCGAGCGCUGCGAUGAAUCACGUUGCGACUAAAAUUCAGAUAGUCUAAGCCUAUUUUCGAAAUAAAAUAUAAUGUAAACGGA